UGACAGUACUCCUACGGGGAGGCAGCAGUCGGGGGGAAUAGUUGCACAAUGGGGCGCAAGCCUGAUGCAGCCAUGCCGCGUGUGUGAAGAAGGCCUUCGGGUUGUAAAGCACUUUCAGUCGUGAGGAAGGUGGUAGUGGUUAAUAGCACUAUCAUUUGACGUUUAGCGACAGAAGAAGCACCGGCUAACUCCGUGCCAGCAGCCGCGGUAAUACGGAGGGUGCGAGCGUUAAUCGGAAUUACUGGGCGUAAAGACGCAUGCAGGUGGUUUGGUUAAGUCAGAUGUGAAAGACCCGGGGCGUCAACCUCCGGAAUAAGCAUUUGUAAACUAGGCAGACUAGAGUACUGUAGAGGGGGGUAGGGAAGUUUCUAGGUGUAGCGGUGAAAUAGCGUAGAGAUCUGAAGGAAUACCGGUGGCGAAGGCGGCCCCCUCGGACAGAUACUGACACUCAGAUGCGAAAGCGUGGGGAGCAAACAGGAUUAGAUACCCUGGUAG
rnacentral:rRNA from 1 species